rfam:Eubacterium sp. CAG:251 genomic scaffold, scf29
AAAAUAUUUCAGGGCGAGGUGCAAUUCCUCACCGGCAGUAAAGUCUGCGAACCGCCAAGGCGGCCGAAACGGUGCAAUUCCGUUACCGACGGUUAAAGUCCGGAUGAGAGAAAUGUUUA